rnacentral:lncRNA from 1 species
AAAGUGCCCCUGAAACCUUUACUCUUCCGUAGUAUAUUUUAUUUAAGGAUUUGGGGGAUUGGUUUGUUUGCUUUUGUUUUUAAAGAUAGCAUCUCUGGCAUCCCAGACUGGCCUCGAACUCCCUCUGUAGCCAAGGAUGACCUUGAACUCCUUAUCCUCCUGCCUCUAUUGAAUACUGGGUGACACAGGCUGCAGCACUACGUAUUAGAAGGCUUCGGGGAUGAAUGUACGGCAGUCCCAGCACCUUGGAGGCACAGUGUUUCUCCAUGUAAGCACCGGCUGUUCUGGAACUCUCUGUACACCAGGCUAGCCUUGAACUCACAAAUAUCUACCUGCCUCUGCCUUCCCAGUGUGGGGCACCUGUGCCCUGCAUGUGUGUAGAGGUCCAAGGGCAACUUGUGGGAGUUGCUGGAGCUCAGGUCCUCAGGCUUGGCAGCGAGUGCCUUUACUUGCUGAGCCAUCUCACCAGACCUGAAUAUGUAGCAUGCUUUAAUUGUAGCUAUUUGUAACAUUUUCAGAAAUUAAAAAAAAAACACUCAGACUAAAUACAGAAAAUAAAACAACAUUUUAAGC